UUUCAUUUGUUAUCCACGUGUUUUCUGAUAGAUAACAAUCUCCGUUAAAAUGUUCCAGAAAAAUCAGCCAAAUUUUUGCAUCUUCUCUGAGAUCAUUAUUUAUUCUAAUUGAAUAAAAAGGCUUUUUAUUUUUUAUAGACCCUAUGACAUCAUAAAACCUUGACCACUACUGUCUUGAAUAUUACUAUUAGAUACAUUUAAGGACACAUUUGAGAUAGUAUUCACUGGUUGCAUAUAUAACAACCAAAGCUCAUUGUCUAUAUUACUCCAUAAACUGGAUGGUUCAUGAGCUUUUCUUAGUCUAUAUUGCUCAUCAUAAUUUUUCCAACCCAUACCUUGGUUUCUUUGAGCCCCAAGGCGUAUUGUGUGCAUGUAUUUUAACAAUUCCUUAAAUCGGUUUACGUGCACAGCACAAUAAAUAUAAAUAAAAAUGAUGAAAGCAUCUGUCCACUUUUCAAUAUUUGUAAUUUUUGAUUGUUGAGAAAUGGGUUGUAAAAUGAAUUCCCCUUGAGCCCAUGUCAACUUUUGUUUGUCAGAACCCGUGUUGACUGAAUUAUUUAAUAGACAAGCUAAAUCUAUGAAUUCCCCUUUCAAUAUUUUUUCUUUAAUUGACUGUGUUACAUUUAUGCCUAGAUUCUCAUGAACACUUUCAAUUCUAUUGGGAAUUUGUACAUAAUCAUUAUUGGUCACAUUACCUGUUUGUGACACAAACUGUGUGUUAUCAACAGUUGGCUGGAGGUCUAUUGCUCGUCUUGGUUGCCAUGGUAACAUGUCCGGAAUGUGGACGGAGUUGUCCUGAUUGCUAGAAAAUGUUGGCAUCAACAUUCUUGUCGUUGAUACUGUUGCAGUUGUUGGUAUGGCAGCGCCGUCAUGUCCAGAAGUUGUAUAGAUAGCCUCAGGCCUUGUAACCGUCAUAGAUGAUUGUACUGACGCCCGUGACGAAACUCCCUUCGACACCACCGGGU
rnacentral:lncRNA from 1 species